GACGUAGGGCGCAAGCGUUGUCCGGAAUUAUUGGGCGUAAAGAGCGUGUAGGCGGCCAGGUAGGUCUGCUGUGAAAACUCGAGGCUCAACCUCGAGACGUCGGCGGAAACCAUCUGGCUAGAGUCCGGAAGAGGAGAGUGGAAUUCCUGGUGUAGCGGUGAAAUGCGUAGAUAUCUGGAGGAACACCGGUGGCGAAGGCGGCGUCCUGGACCAACACUGACACUGAUGAGCGAAAGCCAGGGGAGCAAACGGG
rnacentral:rRNA from 1 species